rnacentral:pre_miRNA from 1 species
CAAUUACUCCCUCCGUCCAACAAAAGAUGUCUCAAGUUUGUCAAAAUUUGGAUGUAUCUAGACAUGACUUAGUGUAUAGAUGCAUUCAAAUUUAGUCAAAGUUGAGACAUCCUUUGUUGGACGGAGGGAGUAUACG